AGUGAGAUAACAUCUGUCUAUAUAUUGCAUGCUUGGCUUUUCAUGGUGGACCUAUUACAUAAAGCAUUCAUAUGUAGACAUAUUCUUGAUGGGCUGUCAAUUAGCAAAAAAAAGAACAUUACCGCUACCCCAAAAUUUAGAAUUACCAGUCGAAGUGAUCAUCGCUUAAUCAGAUAUUUUCGCCGAUAUUUUUUUCAGCAAAAAUCAGAGCAGGACUAAUUGCAUUUGGCUUUCACUAUCAAGUAAUAUUUUAGCAUUCAAAGGCAAGUGACAGCAUCAUUCCUAACGAACUUCCCAAACUCCAUCACAACAAAGAGAUAAUAGCUUACAUCAAGGCAGUAAAACAAGACUCCGGUGAAGGAUAGAAAUUCAACAUCACUUCAUUCCUUAAUACAACUCCAGCCUCAAAUAAAGAAUGAAUUGCUUCAACUUUCCAUCCUAAUCCAACUCCACUUGUGACUCUUCCUGAAAAGAAAUACAAAGUUACAGCUGAUGAUGAAGGGAAAAAACAUGAAGCUACUGGCGAAGAUGAAAACAACCACAACGCUUCUAAUGAAAGAUCAGAUGCAAUAGAAAGCUUGGGUGUGCAUCUCUUCUAAAUAGGCUUGCUCUUUUGAAAGUUAUUUUGAAAGUUCCAUAAUAGAAUAUAUAUGUAAAGAGGCCACUUGUUGGAACACUAUAUUAUAGGCUUUCACUUUUGAAAGCUCCAUCACUACUAGAUUGAAUGAUUAUGUAAAUAAAUAGCCACAAUUUGGGAACUCUUAAACAAUCUUUUGAGUUCCAUUACAACUUGGAAUGAAUGUAAGUUACAACUUUAAAAGCUACCAUCAUGUUGCAACAUUAAAAACUUUUGUCACCUUAAA